rnacentral:lncRNA from 1 species
GCGUUAUUUUCGCUCGCCCCCCUCCCCUAGAGACACACACUGCAGAGGGCUAAUUAUACCCGGUACUCAAAGAGUAAAUAGGGUAUAUUGUAUUUGUGCGAAUAACGGUUGUAUGUAACGCACAGAAGGAAGCGUUUCCGACCCCAUAAAGUAUAUAUAUUCUUGAUCAGCAUCAAUAGCCGAGUCGAUAGAGCCAUGUCUGUCUGUCCGUCUGUCCGUCUUGUUUGUCGGCUAGUUCUCAGAGACUAUAAGAGCUAGAGCCACCAAAUUUUGGCUAUGGACUGCUGUAUGCUCAGUGUAUUUCAAAAAUGAUGAUGACUCUUCCGACUUUUAACCAAGACUCGGUUUUAACGCUCUGUAUUAGAAAAAGAGUGACCAUCAAAGUUGCGUACAAGAUGGCGUAAUAGAUGGCGCCACUUUCGAAAAAUUUGCUGUGAAACCUAUCGGUCAUUAUUGCACAGAAUGUGCUGACAAUUGGACCAUCAAAGUUGCGUACAAGAAAUUUUCAUAGAUGCCGCCAUUUUCGAAAAAUUUGCUGUGAAACCUAUCGGUCCAAGAAUGUACCAAUUUUAUUUAGUAGGCUCUUACCACGUGUUCUACAAUGUGAACGAUAUCUAGUGGUUGGCGAUGUCUUCUACAUCUAGAUGUAGUAUAAAAGUUGUGACACGUAAGAAGCGUCUCACACGUCCCUUUUCGUUUUUUUUGUGUGCGAUCGCUGCCUCUGCCUCUGCCGCGAGUCUGCAGUAUGUGGGUCUUGGGAAGGGCGGCGAGCGUGUUGGUGUGAGAAGUGUUGUAGAUGUAGAUGACAGAUGUAGAAACAAUUUUAAAUGUGACAAAACACCGCUGAUGUGCAGAUGCACUAUUGUCCCAAUGACCAGUUUUGGUGGCUGUUUACGCCAGUUACCCAAAUUAUGGCCCCGAGCAAUUAGUAUUUUGUAUAAGUAAAAUUAAUUUGUAGCAUUAAGCUAUUGAAUUGUUGCAUUUACGACAUACUGACAAAAGCUUGUUGUUAUAGAACAUACAUGUAAUGUGUGAAUACGAUAGAGAAAGGGGAAGAACAUGCAUUUAAUAGGUGAAUAUCGAAAUUGAAAAGAAGAAGAGAUUAAAUUGAUUUGAAUUCCGACUCGGUCGAACAGCAGCACUUGGCUUUUUAUUUCGAGAUUUUGAUUCCGAACUGGUUGCGAGGAGUUGCGGAAACAGUGGCCAAAAGCAAAUUUUUAAAAGUUAAACCCAAGACUCGGUUUUUAACGCUCUUUAUUAGAAAAAGAGUGACCAUCAAAGUUGCGUAUAAGAAAUUUUCAUAGAUGGCGCCACUUUCGAAAAAUCUGAUGUGAAACCUAGCGGUCAUUAUUGC